GCGCUCGUAGGGGAGAGCGAAGAGCACCUGGGAAGCGUCGGUCUACGAAACCGAAGGUCACAGGUUCGAAUCCUGUCGGGCGCG
rnacentral:tRNA from 1 species